UAAUAACUUGUUAAUUAUUUGAUUAGUUAGUUAAUUGUUUAUUUAUUAAUUAUUUAUACUAAUUGUUAAUUAUUUGACUUAUUAAUUUUUAAUCUUUAUAUUUUAGAAUUGAAAACCCUUAGUUUAGGAUUCAUAACCCGUAGCUUAGGAUUGAAAACCCUUAAUAUAAUUUUCGAUAAAAGAUUACAUAACUAAUAUUACUUGUUAAUGAUUUAUUUAAAAUACGUAAAACAGAUGGGUCACCACAAUCCUCAAUAAAAUUUUCGAUAAAGGAUUACAUAACUAAUAUUACUUGUUAAUGAUUUAUUUAAAAUACGUAAAACAGAUGGGUCACCACAAUCCUUAAUAAAAUUUUCGAUAAAAGAUUACAUAACUAAUAUCACUUGUUAAUGAUUGAUUUAAAAUACGUAAAACAGAUGGGUCACCACAAUUCUUAAUAAAUUUUUUGAUAAAAGAUUACAUAACUAAUACUACUUGUUAAUGAUUGAUUUAAAAUGCGUAAAACAGAUGGAUCACCACCCUCUUGAUCCGGGGCCCUUCGACCGAGAGUUAUUGUAUCUUCAGCCCGAGCAUAGGUCGCAACAUAUAUGGACAUCCGACCUGCAGCCUGAGUCUCAGGUCCGUACCCGGUUAGGGGACUCAGCAUGGGAGAUCUUAGCUGCUCGCCCCCCACAUCCUCGUGUCCUAGAUAUACUACGUCGGGGCGGUAUCUACCGGUGCGUCGAAGUUGGUCGGAUACACCACGAUACGUCGCUAGUGACGGCAUUGAUUGAGAGGUGGCGACCAGAGACGUACACAUUUCAUCUCCGCACCGGUGAGGCUACCAUUACCCUUCAGGAUGUGGAGGUCAUUUAUGGGCUACAAGUUGAUGGACGCCCAUUGUAUAUUAAGGAGCCUCCUGUGCUGCCGCCUUACCGAGAUGAGUUGACUAGGCUCGCCGGUUUCGCGGCUCUGGACGGUCACAUUUCCGCCCAGAGUCGGCUUUUGUUAUCGGCCCUUUACGCUCACUUGCGCCUCACAGACAUGCAACAUUCGAUUGGAGAGGACACGCCUCAGGCUGAUGUUGACCGACGCGCGCGUCUAUACCUACUCAUCAUAUUCGGGGCCAUCCUGUUCCCGAACACUUCGGGUUCGCAUUUGAGCUUGAGGUAUCUUCGGUAUAUCGACGAUCUCGCCGAGAUAGAAUGUUAUAGUUGGGGCGCUGCUGUGCUGGGCUACAUGUAUUGAGGAUUAUGCCGAUGUUCUAUGGGCACGAGGGUAGAGGUCCCUGCAUUUUGCUUGCUCCUUCAGAUAUGGGUGUGGACUAGGUUGAGACAUUUUCAGCCCAUACCAGCUGACCCUCCCGCUGACUAUCUUACUGUGCUGAUGCCAUACGCGCGGAGAUGGUCGCGAGGCGUUCGCUGACGUGCGGAGACGCAUCACAGCUUUCUCCCGUUUAGGGAUCAGCUAGACUGCAUGACGACGCAGAUGGCUUUCAUAUGGACGCCGUAUGAUCAUAUUUUGGAUGAGCUGCCGGCGUUUUGUAGGGCUGGUCAGCACAUGUGGAUGUCGCGGUGUCUAUUGAUACAUAUGGAUAUCGUUGAGUAUCACGCGCCCGACCGCGUGUUACGGCAGUUUGGGUAUGUACAGAAUAUACCCGCGGCUACGGUUUGGGAGCAUGACCACUAUGCGAGGGACGAGCGUGCGGGCGUCGAUGAUGCAUGGCGACUCUAUAUGCAGCAGCAGGUCCAGAGUUGGGAUGUGAGGAUGACGAGCCUAGCGGUGGUCGGACAUGACACUCCGAUCCAUGUGUAAAUUGAAUGGUACAUGCAGAUCACUCGCAUCAUUAUUGCCAACCUCUCUAGGCAUCGUCCAGAUGGCCUAGGAUAUGUAGCUCUCGCAGGAGUGUACGAGGCGCUGGUACGGACCGUUUAGACGAUGCGCUAUGAGAGCACUAUCCGUACGGAGGCCCCCGAGACAGCGGAGUAUGCAGCACAGAUGAUUGAGCUUGCCGAGACUGGUAUGAGACAGGCACAUGACUUUGCGCGUCUCCAUGAGCGUGUGCCCGCUGCCCCACCUGGGGCAGCAGGUGGUCGUGGUCGCCGAAGAGUUGGUGGUCGUUGUAGAGGUGGUAGGGCUGGCAGAGGUGACAAGGCUCCGUCGACUUCAGAGAUUCCGCUGAGUUUUUAUCAGCCGGCGACUACAGAUAUCCCAUCGACUUCUCAUUCCAGGCCGUUGACUUCACAGACGCCUCUGUAUACGCCGGAACCUUUUUCAGAUUAUGUGACCUGGCCUUCAUUUCCAUAUCCAGUAGUUCGUGAUCCACAGGGUGAGCGGCCGGUUCGUGAUCUACAGGGUGGCCUACAUCUGCACUUCGACGACUCCAUGUUUGAGGACUUCAUAUUUGAUACGGCACCAUCUGCAUCUCCUGCACCGGAGGCUGCUCAGGAGCCUUCUCACCAGGCAUUUCAGGAGGCCGUCGACACACAAGUUUGAUUUUUACACUAAAAUAAAAUAAUUUAUUAAUUAUUUGUUUAUUUCAGGUUAAAUCUAAUCUAAAUUAUUUAUAUAUUAUUUCAAGUUCAUUCUGUUAGGUGUGGAAUUGGCCAAACAAGUCAAUUCUUUUGUUCACAUAGUCGUGAUGUAAGCGCUUACCUCAUAAUAGUUGUGAUGUAAGCGCUUACCUCAUCAUAGGAAAUUCAUUCCUAUAAAUAGGUAGCUUAUGGUUCAUUUGUAAGAUAUCAUCAAGAUCAUUUGCUAAACACAUCCCAAAGAGAGAGAAAAAAAAAAUCUAAGAGAAAUACUCUUAGUGAAAGGCCUAAGUAAGAGAAGGUCUUUGAGAGAAUUUUCUGUGGUAAAAUUCUUGAGUGUAAUUGGGAUUGGGGUUGUGAGGUUGAGUGUUGUAAACACUUAUAAUAUUUCUUCUUUAAUAAGAUCUGCAGCAGCAACGUGGACGUAGCUCUCACAUUGAGGGUGAACCACUAUAAAUCUGUGUGUGCUAUUUAUUCUUCGCUUACAUCACGGCGUAAGUAGGUUCUGUCUAAGGAGGUUGGUAUUUAAGUGGUCCAGCUGUGACCCUCCAAUCUUUCGUGGGAACCUGCUUACAAAGGUCGGAUUUGGGAUUCAAAUCCUAACAACUGGUAUCAGAGCAACAGGUUGUGUUGUGAUUUAGAAACGAUGGGAGGCGAAGAUGGUACGACGCACGGCAUCGGUAAAUUCGAUGGUGCAGACUUUGCGUUCUGGAGAAUGCAAAUUGAAGAUUAUUUAUAUGGCAGAAAGCUUCAUGAACCUCUGAGUCCGAAACCAGAGGAGAUGAAGCAAGCAGAUUGGAAUCUCCUCGACAGACAAGUUCUGGGAGUCAUUCGGCUGACGCUGUCAAAGAACGUUGCUCACAAUGUGGCAAAGGAGAAGACCACUGCAGAUAUGAUGAAGGUAUUGUCUGACAUGUAUGAGAAACCUUCGGCAAAUAAUAAGGUAUUUCUCAUGAAGAAACUAUUUCAUCUAAAGAUGAUGGAAAAUGCUCAUGUUGCUGCACACGUAAAUGAAUUCAAUACCAUUGUAAAUCAAUUGUCAUCGGUAAAAAUUGACUUCGA